rnacentral:lncRNA from 1 species
UUUGCUUAUUCUGGAUCAGUAUUAUGGAAUGGACUACCACACACAAUGCAUAAAGCUCAAAACACUUUUACUUUUAAGCAAAGUAUCAAGAAGUACCUAACACAACCCUGAUAAGAAAUGUUUGCUACAAUGUAUUUGUAUAUUUUUUUUGUUUUUUAUUUUCAUUUGAUUUUUUGACUACAUGUAUACAUCUUAAACAGCAUUAUAUCUUAUGUUAAUAACAA